UAAGCGCGUAGAGAAUCGCUUCAAUUGUUAUUUUAUUAUUGAGUCAAAAGUAAUGAAGAUUUUUUUAUAAAAUGAAAUUUGAUUUAAAUAAAUUUCCUUUUGAAUAUUCCCGCACAAAAGUGACUAUAUAUCGCAGUCACAGUGUUGCCAGAUUGGGGAGUAUAUAAUAUGUGACUAUGUGACACCACUGCCAAUGUUUAUAAAUAAAAACAUCCUCUACUAUAUUUCAUGCUUUGAACUUUGUUAAUGUCACCUUUGAUCAUCAUAUAAAUGGCGAGCUUCCGCGUAAAUAAAUAUUGAUAAUUUUGAAAAAUAAAAAUAGUUUAACGACAUGGCAGCUGCAAUUACAGCUGGUAAUCCUAUUGGAUCUAUGAGGAAUAUACCUCAGUUUAGAAAUGCCAGGCAAGGAAGUGUUAUUGACUUUGACAUUGAUAUGUUUUUAAAAAUAUCCAAUUAUGAAGACACUGUCAGACAACUUGACAUCUACUAUGGGAUUGUCAAGAGACAAAUUCUUCAUUAUCAGAGUUGUAUAACAGGUCUUUUUCCUCAAAUAUCUACAGACAAAACAGUAGGAAGUGUCAGAGAAAGUAUAUACUGUGCAGCUGCAGUAUGGAGUUUAUAUCAAGCCUACAGGAGAAUAGAUGAUGAUCGUGGUAAAUCAUAUGAGCUUGGUCAGUCAGCUAUCAAGUGUAUGAGAGGAAUUUUAGAAUGUUGGAUGAAGCAGUCUUCCAGGGUAGAAUUAUUUAAGAAAAAUCAAUCCAACCGCUUUGCUUUGCAUUGCAAGUUUCACUUAGAUACGGGAGAUGAAAUUUUCAAAGAUGAAGACUACAAUCAUUUACAAAUUGAUGUUGUAUCUUUGUACCUAAUUUUCCUGGUACAAAUGAUAUCAUCCGGGCUACAAAUAAUAUAUACACAAGACGAAGUAGCUUUUGUUCAGAAUCUAGUUUAUUACGUUGAAAGAGCUUAUCGAACACCUGAUUAUGGAAUGUGGGAGAGAGGUAGUCGUUACAAUGAUGGUACACCAGAAAUUCACGCUAGUUCUAUUGGUAUGGCAAAAAGUGCUCUUGAAGCCAUCAACGGAUGUAAUCUUUUUGGAGAAAAAGGUGCAUCCUGGUCUGUCAUAUAUGUUGACAUAGAUGCUCACAAUCGUAAUCGUAGUAUUUUUGAAACAAUGCUUCCAAGGGAAUCUAGCUCUAAAAGUGUAGAUGCAGCGCUACUUCCAACAAUUUCAUUUCCUGCUUUUUCCACUCACGAAGAAGUAUUGUACAAUGAAACAAAAGCCAACAUAUUAAGAAGACUAAAGGGUACUUAUGGUUUUAAACGAUUUGGCAGGGAUGGCUUUAAAACAGUACUGGAGAAUCCACAAAAACGAUAUUACGAGUCUGGUGAAAUCAAAGAAUUUGAUAGUAUAGAAUGUGAAUGGCCACUGUUUUAUAUUUUUAUGAUCAUAGAUGGAGUUUUUAAUACAUUACCUGAACAAGUAGAAGAAUAUCAAAAUUUGCUUAAAGCUAGAUUAUCCAAAGAUUCUCAUGGAGAUCCUGUAAUACCAAUGUACUACUAUGUUCCGGAGGACAGCAUUGAAGCUGAGAAAAAUGAACCAGGAAGCACAUUGAAAGUUCCCAGUGAUAUUGGAAGAGGACACAGAGGAGGGGACGAGUCGGCGCCUAUUUAUCUAUGGAAUCAAGCAAUGUUUGUCAUUGCACAAUUACUGACUGCCAGUUUAUUGCACAUCAAUGAAUUAGAUCCCAUUCGUCGAUAUUUACCAUCGUACAACAGGCCAAGAAAAGCCGGACGGUACUCAGCUUUUCAGGGCACACAUACUGAUCUUGUAGUACAAAUCGUAUUAAUUGCCGAAUCUAUGAGACUGCAAGCUAUGAUGGCUACUUAUGGCAUUCAAACUCAAACGCCUCAUGAAGUUGAACCAGUACAAAUUCUUUCGUCCACUCAACUGGUCAAAGUUUAUCAAUGUCUAGGUGUCAAUAGUAAGUUAAAUCUUGAAGGCCGACCUGCAAGGCCUAUUGGUUCUCUGGGUACAAGCAAGAUAUACCGAGUGUGUGGUAUGACUGUUUUAUGUUAUCCUCUUAUCUUUGAGGUAUCAGAGUUUUAUUUAUACCGUGAUAUGGCCCUACUCAUUGAUGACAUAAAGACAGAGCUGCAGUUUGUGGGAAAAUACUGGAGACUAUCAGGAAGACCUACCGUUUGUCUUCUGAUUCGAGAAGAGCAUAUGAGGGAUCCCCAAUUCAAAGAAAUGCUGGAUCUUUUCGCCAUGUUAAAAAAAGGAUAUUGCGAUGGAACAAAAGUAAGAAUUGGAAGACUUCAAAAUUUAAUAUCAUCAUCUUGUAUAGAACAUUUGGAUUUCAUAAGUACAAUGGAAACAGAUCUGGAUUUAAAUCAAUUUAAGCAAUUGGAGCAUGAUUAUAUCGGUUAUCAAAGUUUGACAGAUGUGCCAAAAGCUCUGUCUUACGAUGAAGAUAUUAAAGAUUAUUCAAGUUUCAAAAGUGAAUCUACUCCUAAUAUAUUGCAAACACUCAGAAAUACGGCCGGUUUGUAUGCAAAAUGCCAACUGUAUGGUAUAAUUUUACAACGAGAAGGUGAAAAUUACGAAAUUAACGGUACGACAGUCGGAGAAAUUCUGAGGUCCUUGUAUCAACAAGCUGGUAGUUUGCGGUAUUGGAUGGCUGUGCGUUAUUGUAGCAGUUUAUUAAAUCAUACUGUCGACAGUAUUAGUCCUUUCAUCACGGGUGUUCUUGUCAAAGGCAAACAGAUCACGGUUGGUGUUAUAGGACACCAAGAAACAGUUUUCGAUAAACCCAUGACACCUGCUGAAAUUCAGUCUGUAAUGUACUCGACAAUUCAACCCCAUAAUGUGGUACAGGCUGUACUGCAGCAGGAAGUGUUGUUAUAUUGUGGUAGACUAAUUGGUACAAAUCCAGAAAUGUUCAAGGGUAUAUUGAAAAUUCGAAUUGGAUUGGGACUGCAACUAUUGGAGAAAAAAUAGUUUGUCUCUAUUAAUCCAGCCUUAUCCUAUAUAUGAUGUCCAAUUUACUCGAUUGAAAAAUCAAAAAGUUCUUAAAAUGGGUUUUGGAAGCAAUGAAAUUAUACUUGCAAAUAUUUGGAAAAACUUUGAAGCCGAUUGAAAAUUAUAGCCCCUAUGAAGUUAGACAACUUCUCAUAAAGGUUCUUACAGUCAAAGAAUGGGCAGCUGAUGAAGACUUAUCCAUACUUGGAAGAAGAAGGAUCGAAGGCAGUCUUUGUCGUGUACCGGCUCAUUUUUAUAAUCAAGUUUGGGAAGUACUGGAGAGAUGCCCAGGUGGUAUUUGUGUUAAUGGAAGAGAUGUGCCACAACAGCCGACUUUAUCAAGCAUGACAAGAUCUGAGCUUACUUUUGCACUUCUUGUUGAAUCUAUACUUCAUCAUAUACAUGUUCCAGAAUAUCGUCAAAUAGUUGUCGAGCUUUUGAACAUCGUAUCAACAAUUCUGUUGAGAAAUCCUGAGCUGACUUUCCAAAGACAAUUAGAUUUAAAUAAAUUAGUCGACGAUGCUUUUGUUAUGUUUUGUAAGGAUCACAAUUUAGAAAAAACAAAUGAUAUGACACCAUUUUUCUCUGCCAGCUAUUCUGUAACAACGAGUUUUCUCGCUAGGGCCAUUGUCAAUAAUGUACUGACAGGGGAUUGCGUCACUAAUAUUUCCGAUACCCAUGAUGCCUUAGAAACAAAUGAAAUGUGCAAGAUCACGUGAAAGAUUUAAAGUUGUUGUAAAAAUGUAUUUUAAUAUAAAUAAAUCGUUUUGAGAUUGUUCA